UUUUUUUUGAAUAAUUACUUUGAAUAAAUUAGAGUGCUUUAAGCAAAUUUAUUUUUUAUCAACAAAAAAAAUAAAAUGUUUGAAUAAUUUAGCAUAGAAUAAUUGAAUAAGAUUUGAAAGAUAAAUAUUUUGGUAAUUAUAAUUUAAAUAAUGAUAAAUAGGAAUAGUUGGGGGUAUUUGUAUUGAAUAGUCAGAGGUGAAAUUCAAGGAUUUGUUCAAGACAAACAUCAGCGAAAGCAUUUACCAAAGAUAUUUCCAUUAAUCAAGAACGAAAGUUAGGGGAUCGAAGAUGAUCAGAUACCGUCGUAGUCCUAACCAUAAACAAUACCAACCAAAGAUAAGAGGUUGAAACAAGAGAUAUAAAAAUUGUUUUUUUUAUAUCAAGAAAACUCCUUUUGAAUUUUUGAGGGAAACCAUUGAGUAUUUGGGUUCUGGGGGAG
rnacentral:rRNA from 1 species